UACGGAGGGGGCUAGCGUUGUUCGGAAUUACUGGGCGUAAAGCGCACGUAGGCGGCUUUCUAAGUCGGGGGGUGAAAAUCCUGGGAGCUCAACUCCAGAACUGCCUUCGAUACUGGAGAGCUUGAGUCCGGGAGAGGGUGAGUGGAACUGCGAGUGUAGAGGGUGAAAAUUCGUAGAUAUUCGGAGGAACACCAGUGGGCGAAAGGCGGCUCACUGGGUCCAUUUACUGACGCUGAGGUGCGAAAAGCGUGGGG
rnacentral:rRNA from 1 species